rnacentral:rRNA from 1 species
CAGCCGCCACGGUAAUACGUAGGGUGCAAGCGUUAAUCGGAAUUACUGGGCGUAAAGCGUGCGCAGGCGGUUUGUUAAGACAGAUGUGAAAUCCCCGGGCUUAACCUGGGAACUGCAUUUGUGACUGGCAAGCUAGAGUAUGGCAGAGGGGGGUGGAAUUCCGCGUGUAGCAGUGAAAUGCGUAGAUAUGCGGAGGAACACCGAUGGCGAAGGCAGCCCCCUGGGCCAAUACUGACGCUCAUGCACGAAAGCGUGGGGAGCAAACAGGAUUAGAUACCCCUGUAGUCCCUGUCUCUUAUAA